rnacentral:rRNA from 1 species
UAUGGCUGUUCGCCAUUUAAAGUGGUACGCGAGCUGGGUUUAGAACGUCGUGAGACAGUUCGGUCCCUAUCUGCCGUGGGCGUUGGAAGAUUGAGAGGGGCUGCUCCUAGUACGAGAGGACCGGAGUGGACGAAUCACUGGUGUUCGGGUUGUCAUGCCAAUGGCAUUGCCCGGUAGCUAAAUUCGGAAGAGAUAACCGCUGAAAGCAUCUAAGCGGGAAACUUGCCUCGAGAUGAGUCUUCCCUGGGACUUAAAGUCCCCUGAAGGAACGUUAAAGACUAUGACGUUGAUAGGCUGGGUGUGUAAGUGCAGCGAUGUAUUGAGCUAACCAGUACUAAUGAUCCGUGAGGCUUAACCUU